rnacentral:lncRNA from 1 species
GGGGCCCAAAAAAUAAUGUGAAACUUGUUACUGCCGUGGUUUUUUUUUUUACUAAAAACAGUUGUAUUUAAUUUUCAUAAUCUCUGCAGAAAUACUAAAAAAGUUCUAUGUUUAACGAACUAGAUUUCACAGUAUAAGGAUUUUGCACAGUCAGCUCUAUUUCAUCUCUCAUGAACCGUGGUUCUUUGCACGAAUAGUUUUGUUCUUAAAUGAUGAAUUGUAUAUUUUUG